rnacentral:rRNA from 1 species
CAUCCAAGGAAGGCAGCAGGCACGCAAAUUACCCAAUCCCAGCUCCGGGGCGUAGUGACGAAAAAUAACAAUGCGGGACUCUUCCGAGUCUGCGUAAUUGGAAUGAGCACACUUUAAAUCCUUUAGCAACAACCAAUUGGAGGGCAAGUCUGGUGCCAGCAGCCGCGGUAAUUCCAGCUCCAAUAGCGUAUAUUAAAGUUGUUGCGGUUAAAAAGCUCGUAGUUGGAGGUCAGUUCCGGACUGGGGUGGGAGGUCACCGCCCGGUGCUUCCCCGUCAGGCUCCGAACAGCUUCCGUGAGUGGAAGCCAAGCCGGUUCUGCCGGGGUGCUCUUUACCGAGUGUCCCGCGCGGCCGGCCAGUUCACCUUGAAUAAAUGAGAGUGCUCAAAGCAGGCUACUCUGGAAUACAAUGCCCGAAUGUUACCUGCAUGGAAUGAUGGAAGAUGAUCUCGGUUCCAUUUUGUUGGUGGUGGGAGCCAGAGGUAAUGAUAAAGAGGGACUGUCGGGGGCAUCCGUACUACGACGCGAGAGGUGAAAUUCAGUGACCGUCGUAGGACGAACAACAGCGAAAGCAUUUGCCAAGAAUGUCUUCGUUGAUCAAGAACGAAAGUUAGAGGAUCGAAGGCGAUCAGAUACCGCCCUAGUUCUAACCCUAAACGAUGCUGACUAGCAAUUCGCCGUCGUUAUUCCCAUGACGUGGCGAGACGCCCCCGGGAAACCUCAAGUCUUUGAGUUCCGGGGGUAGUAUGGUUGCAAAAGUGAAACUUAAAGGAAUUGACGGAAGGGCACCACCAGGAGUGGAGCCUGCGGCUUAAUUUGACUCAACACGGGAAAGCUCACCAGGCCCGGACACCAGAAGGAUUGACAGAUUAAGAGCUCUUUCUCGAUUUGGUGGGUGGUGGUGCAUGGCCGUUCUUAGUUGGUGGAGUGAUUUGUCUGGUUA